UUUACAUAUACUCGUUUAACAGUUGCUAUCAGGAACGCUACAGAGAGAAUUAGCACGGCCCCUGAGCAAGGAUGACGUGAAAAUUCGUGAAGCAUUCCACAUGUUC
ensembl:snRNA U6 U6 spliceosomal RNA